rnacentral:rRNA from 1 species
UACGUAGGGGGCAAGCGUUGUCCGGAUUUAUUGGGCGUAAAGAGCGUGUAGGCGGUUUGGUAGGUCCGCUGUGAAAACUCGAGGCUCAACCUCGAGACGCCGGUGGAAACCAUCAGACUAGAGUCCGGAAGAGGAGAGUGGAAUUCCUGGUGUAGCGGUGAAAUGCGCAGAUAUCAGGAAGAACACCCGUGGCUAAGGCGGCUCUCUGGGACGGUACUGACGCUGAGAAGCGAAAGCAUGGGUAGCAAACAGG